AUAGGGGAGCCGUAGAGAAAUCGAGUCUUAAUAGGGCGUUUAGUUGCUGGGUGUAGACCCGAAACCGGGUGAUCUAUCCAUGAGCAGGUUGAAGGUUGGGUAACACUAACUGGAGGACCGAACCCACUGUCGUUGAAAAGCCAGGGGAUGACUUGUGGAUAGGGGUGAAAGGCUAAUCAAACUCGGUGAUAGCUGGUUCUCCCCGAAAGCUAUUUAGGUAGCGCCUCGGACGAAUACCAUUGGGGGUAGAGCACUGUUUCGGCUAGGGGGUCAUCCCGACUUACCAAACCGAUGCAAACUCCGAAUACCAAUGAGUACUAUCCGGGAGACAGACUGCGGGUGCUAACGUCCGUAGUCAAGAGGAAAACAAUCCAGACCGCCAGCUAAGGCCCCAAAAUUAUAGUUAAGUGGGAAACGAUGUGGGAAGGCAUAGACAGCUAGGAGGUUGGCUUAGAAGCAGCCACCCUUUAAAGAAAGCGUAAUAGCUCACUAGUCGAGUCGGCCUGCGCGGAAGAUGUAACGGGGCUCAAACUAGGAGCCGAAGCUGCGGAUUUAAUUGUUUCAAUUAAGUGGUAGGGGAGCAUUGUGUAAGCCUGUGAAGGUGUGUUGUAAAGCAUGCUGGAGGUAUCACAAGAGCGAAUGCUGACGUGAGUAACGACAAUGCGAGUGAAAAGCUCGCACGCCGGAAGACCAAGGGUUCCAGUCCAACGUUAAUCGGGGCUGGGUGAGUCGACCCCUAAGGCGAGGCCGAGAGGCGUAGUCGAUGGGAAAUUGGUUAAUAUUCCAAUACUUCUGUGUAAUGCGAUGAGAGGACGGAGAAGGUUAAGUCAGCCUGGCGUUGGUUGUCCAGGUGAAAGGUUGUAGGCAUGUAUCUUAGGCAAAUCCGGGGUACUCUAUGCUGAGAACUGAUAGCAAGCUGCACUUGUGCAGUGAAGUGGCUGAUACCAUACUUCCAGGAAAAGUCUCUAAGCUUCAGUUACACAGGAAUCGUACCCGAAACCGACACAGGUGGUCAGGUCGAGUAGACCAAAGCGCUUGAGAGAACUCUGCUGAAGGAACUAGGCAAAAUGGUACCGUAACUUCGGGAGAAGGUACGCUGCCGACGGUGAAACCCUUGCGGUGUAAGCUGUUGGCAGUCGCAGAUACCAGGCCGCUGCAACUGUUUAUUAAAAACACAGCACUCUGCAAACACGAAAGUGGACGUAUAGGGUGUGACGCCUGCCCGGUGCUGGAAGGUUAAUUGAAGAUGUGCAAGCAUCGGAUCGAAGCCCCAGUAAACGGCGGCCGUAACUAUAACGGUCCUAAGGUAGCGAAAUUCCUUGUCGGGUAAGUUCCGACCUGCACGAAUGGCAUAAUGAUGGGGGCGCUGUCUCCAGCAGAGACUCAGUGAAAUCGAAUUCGCCGUGAAGAUGCGGUGUACCCGCGGCUAGACGGAAAGACCCCGUGAACCUUUACUGCAGCUUGACAUUGAACUUUGAUCUUACUUGUGUAGGAUAGGUGGGAGGCUUUGAAACUCGGACGCUAGUUCGAGUGGAGCCAAUCUUGAAAUACCACCCUGGUAAUAUUGAGGUUCUAACUCUGCUCCAUUAUCUGGAGCGAGGACCAUGUCUGGUGGGUAGUUUGACUGGGGCGGUCUCCUCCUAAAGAGUAACGGAGGAGUACGA
rnacentral:rRNA from 1 species